rnacentral:piRNA from 1 species
UGGGGCACUCAGUGGUGCUUGUUGGAUGGA